UACAGAGGGUGCAAGCGUUAAUCGGAAUUACUGGGCGUAAAGCGCACGUAGGCGGUCUUUUAAGUCGGGGGUGAAAUCCUGGAGCUCAACUCCAGAACUGCCUUCGAUACUGGAAGACUCGAGUCCGAGAGAGGUGAGUGGAACUGCGAGUGUAGAGGUGAAAUUCGUAGAUAUUCGCAAGAACACCAGUGGCGAAGGCGGCUCACUGGCCCGGUACUGACGCUGAGGUGCGAAAGCGUGGGGAGCAAACAGG
rnacentral:rRNA from 1 species